rnacentral:piRNA from 1 species
UUCAAAUCUCACUAUCAUGGCCUCUGUUC